GUGCACGCGCUCCUGGGAUGGGGGAAAACGGGAAUGGGGGUCAGGGAGGCAGCGGGGGGGCGUGGGGGCGAGGGUGGGCUCGGCGCCGGCGGCGCCGGGCUGGCAAAAAGUUCAGUUUGCACACUCAAAAUUGGGUUUACGCCUCUCGAAGUGCACCCCAAGCAACCAAAAUUGAGUUUAUGCCUCUCAAAUUCCACCCAAGCAACCAGAAUUGGGUUUACACCUCUCAAAGUCCAGCCCCAGCACCCAAAAUUGGGUUUGGGACACUCAAAAUGCACCCAAGCACCCAGAAUUGGGUUUGGGACACUCAAAUUCCACCCAAGCACCCAAAAUUGGGUUUGGGACACUCAAAAGUCCAGCCUAAGCACCCAAAAUUGGGUUUGGGACACUCAAAUUCCACCCAAGCACCCAGAAUUGGGUUUGGGACACUCAAAUUCCACCCAAGCACCCAAAAUUGAGUUUACACCUCCCAAAGUCCCAAACCAGGUACCCAAAAUUCCAUCUACACCCAAACUCAGCUCCCGGUGCCCAUUCCCAGUGCCAUUCCCAGUGCCCAUUCCCAGCGCCAUUCCCAGCGCCAUUCCCAGCGCCAUUCCCGGCGGUACCGGAGCAGGGGGUGCCGGCGCGGUGCCCGCCGGUGCACGUUCCCAGUGCUCCCAGUGCCCAUUCCCAGCACCAUUCCCACCAUUCCCAGUGCCAUUCCCACCAUUCCCAGCGCCAUUCCCACCAUUCCCACCAUUCCCACCAUUCCCAGCACCAUUCCCGGCGGUACCGGAGCAGGGGGUGCCGGCGCGGCGCCUGCCGGUGCACGUUCCCAGUGCUCCCAGUGCCCAUUCCCAGUGCCAUUCCCAGUGCUCCCAGUGCCCAUUCCCAGCGCCAUUCCCAGUGCCAUUCCCACCACUCCCAGUGCUGCCAGUGCCGUUCCCGGCGCCCAUUCCCGGUGCCAUUCCCACCAUUCCCAGUGCCCAUUCCCGGUGCGCAUUCCCAGUGCCAUUCCCGGCGCCCUUUCCAGUGCCCAUUCCCAGCGCCAUUCCCAGUGGUCCCAGUGCCAUUCCCAGUGCCCAUUCCCAGUGCCCAUUCCCACCAUUCCCAGCACCAUUCCCACCAUUCCCAGCGCCAUUCCCGGCGGUACCGG
rnacentral:lncRNA from 1 species